UGGGGAAUAUUGCACAAUGGGCGCAAGCCUGAUGCAGCCAUGCCGCGUGUAUGAAGAAGGCCUUCGAGUUGUAAAGUACUUUCAGCGGGGAGGAAGGGAGUAAAGUUAAUACCUUUGCUCAUUGACGUUACCCGCAGAAGAAGCACCGGCUAACUCCGUGCCAGCAGCCGCGGUAAUACGGAGGAUGCAAGCGUUAAUCGGAAUUACUGGGCGUAAAGCGCACGCAGGCGGUCUGUCAAGUCGGAUGUGAAAUCCCCGGGCUCAACCUGGGAACUGCAUUCGAAACUGGCAGGCUAGAGUCUUGUAGAGGGGGGUAGAAUUCCAGGUGUAGCGGUGAAAUGCGUAGAGAUCUGGAGGAAUACCGGUGGCGAAGGCGGCCCCCUGGACAAAGACUGACGCUCAGGUGCGAAAGCGUGGGGAGCAAACAGG
rnacentral:rRNA from 1 species